ensembl:lncRNA
AUCUACCCGCGCCUCGAUUGCUUGUUUGUUCGGUGUUUGGUAAAGUCUUAUUAAAAGUAUCGAAUACACUUGUAACGUUAACCCGAAGAGAUUUCCAGUCCUCUUUUCCCUUGACGAAGCAUUACCAUGAAAAACAAGACGGGCUUUAAGAUCCAGCGGCGUAAGAAGCUUCACAAGAGCCAGUGCAACAGCUUCUUCACAACUGCUGAGGCAUUGAGACACUGUCUUCACAACAAAUCAAAACAUGUUGAAGUUUGUAUCCAUUUUUGUCACUAUACCUGAUUGACUUGAAGACUAAACGUAUCCCAGAUUUGCAUACGCAGGGUAAGAGUUGUGGAAGUGUACAUAAGACUUAUAAAGUAUCAUGUUUUAAUUAAGUUGGUAUAUAUUUGUUUUUAAUGUAGCCUAUGUGUACAUUAAAAGUACCAUUCUGGCAGCGAGAACGAUCCGGAACUAAAUGAAGAUUAAUGUUUUGGCAUAUGAUGUGUUUUUAAACCAAUCGGAUAAGAGUAAAUGAGUCAGCGAGAGCCCCGUCUGAUUGGCUACAAGAAGGUGGAAGAAAAGAAAGACGGAGCUGUACAUAUAGGUUUAUUUCGGGAACUUUUUGCCCCACAUGCACAAGUCAUUUAGACAUUUGUUCUAUCCAGUCAGUCCGUUUUGGAGUUCUUUAAACUGUUGUUUUCGUUUGCAAAUCACUGUUCACAGGCUUGUGUAAGUGUAAGCGCGGUAAAAUGGAAGUCAGAAGAAUGCAGAUCAUAUUUAUUUUGCUUUAGCAUGGAGCUGCAGUUUCACAAUAUUUGAAUUACACUUAUGAGUAACAGUAAAAUGCUGCAAAUCAUUUUUUCUUACGAACAAAAAGCUGAAAAAAGACUGAAUUGGAUUCAGAAUGAUAAUCAAUAUGUAGAUGGAGUCGAUCAACACCGGCUUGACUGUAAUUAUUACCUCUUCAUCGGUCGACAUUUUAUUCCAUAACGUUACAGUUUUGAUGCUGUUUCAUGUCAGAUGAUCGUGUUAGAUUACAUGUGUUAGUAUCUUUUGUUACUUUACUUUUUCACUUGUCUUUUUUUUUGAAAAUUCUGUACAGAAGAUGUGUAGCUACUAGCGCCCUCUACCGUAUAACAAUGCAAACACUGAUUCUAGGACCACAGCUGAGCGCGGGUGGGCAGCUGAGUGCGUGA